CACGUAGGGCGCAAGCGUUGUCCGGAUUUAUUGGGCGUAAAGAGCGUGUAGGCGGCCAGGUAGGUCCGUUGUGAAAACUCGAGGCUCAACCUCGAGACGUCGGCGGAAACCCUCUGGCUAGAGUCCGGAAGAGGAGAGUGGAAUUCCUGGUGUAGCGGUGAAAUGCGCAGAUAUCAGGAAGAACACCCGUGGCGAAGGCGGCUCUCUGGGCCGGAACUGACGCUGAGGAGCGAAAGCGUGGGGAGCAAACAGG
rnacentral:rRNA from 1 species